UCAUGGCUCAGAUUGAACGCUGGCGGCAGGCCUAACACAUGCAAGUCGAACGGUAACGGGAAGCAGCUUGCUGCUUCGCUGACGAGUGGCGGACGGGUGAGUAAUGUCUGGGAAACUGCCUGAUGGAGGGGGAUAACUACUGGAAACGGUGGCUAAUACCGCAUAACGUCGCAAGACCAAAGAGGGGGACCUUCGGGCCUCUUGCCAUCAGAUGUGCCCAGAUGGGAUUAGCUUGUGGGGGAGGUAACGGCUCACCAAGGCGACGAUCCCUAGCUGGUCUGAGAGGAUGACCAGCCACACUGGAACUGAGACACGGUCCAGACUCCUACGGGAGGCAGCAGUGGGGAAUAUUGCACAAUGGGCGCAAGCCUGAUGCAGCCAUGCCGCGUGUAUGAAGAAGGCCUUCGGGUUGUAAAGUACUUUCAGCGGGGAGGAAGGUGUUGUGGUUAAUAACCGCAGCAAUUGACGUUACCCGCAGAAGAAGCACCGGCUAACUCCGUGCCAGCAGCCGCGGUAAUACGGAGGGUGCAAGCGUUAAUCGGAAUUACUGGGCGUA
rnacentral:rRNA from 1 species